UGCAGUCGAACGAUGAUCCGGUGCUUGCACCGGGGAUUAGUGGCGAACGGGUGAGUAACACGUGAGUAACCUGCCCUUAACUCUGGGAUAAGCCUGGGAAACUGGGUCUAAUACCGGAUAUGACUCCUCAUCGCAUGGUGGGGGGUGGAAAGCUUUAUUGUGGUUUUGGAUGGACUCGCGGCCUAUCAGCUUGUUGGUGAGGUAAUGGCUCACCAAGGCGACGACGGGUAGCCGGCCUGAGAGGGUGACCGGCCACACUGGGACUGAGACACGGCCCAGACUCCUACGGGAGGCAGCAGUGGGGAAUAUUGCACAAUGGGCGCAAGCCUGAUGCAGCGACGCCGCGUGAGGGAUGACGGCCUUCGGGUUGUAAACCUCUUUCAGUAGGGAAGAAGCGAAAGUGACGGUACCUGCAGAAGAAGCGCCGGCUAACUACGUGCCAGCAGCCGCGGUAAUACGUAGGGCGCAAGCGUUAUCCGGAAUUAUUGGGCGUAAAGAGCUCGUAGGCGGUUUGUCGCGUCUGCCGUGAAAGUCCGGGGCUCAACUCCGGAUCUGCGGUGGGUACGGGCAGACUAGAGUGAUGUAGGGGAGACUGGAAUUCCUGGUGUAGCGGUGAAAUGCGCAGAUAUCAGGAGGAACACCGAUGGCGAAGGCAGGUCUCUGGGCAUUAACUGACGCUGAGGAGCGAAAGCAUGGGGAGCGAACAGGAUUAGAUACCCUGGUAGUCCAUGCCGUAAACGUUGGGCACUAGGUGUGGGGGACAUUCCACGUUUUCCGCGCCGUAGCUAACGCAUUAAGUGCCCCGCCUGGGGAGUACGGCCGCAAGGCUAAAACUCAAAGGAAUUGACGGGGGCCCGCACAAGCGGCGGAGCAUGCGGAUUAAUUCGAUGCAACGCGAAGAACCUUACCAAGGCUUGACAUGGGCCGGACCGGGCUGGAAACAGUCCUUCCCCUUUGGGGCCGGUUCACAGGUGGUGCAUGGUUGUCGUCAGCUCGUGUCGUGAGAUGUUGGGUUAAGUCCCGCAACGAGCGCAACCCUCGUUC
rnacentral:rRNA from 1 species